UAGGGAAUCUUCCACAAUGGGCGAAAGCCUGAUGGAGCAACGCCACGUGGGUGAAGAAGGUCUUCGGAUCGUAAAACCCUGUUGUUAGAGAAGAAAGUGCGUGAGAGUAACUGUUCACGUUUCGACGGUAUCUAACCAGAAAGCCACGGCUAACUACGUGCCAGCAGCCGCGGUAAUACGUAGGUGGCAAGCGUUAUCCGGAUUUAUUGGGCGUAAAGGGAACGCAGGCGGUCUUUUAAGUCUGAUGUGAAAGCCUUCGGCUUAACCGGAGUAGUGCAUUGGAAACUGGGAGACUUGAGUGCAGAAGAGGAGAGUGGAACUCCAUGUGUAGCGGUGAAAUGCGUAGAUAUAUGGAAGAACACCAGUGGCGAAAGCGGCUCUCUGGUCUGUAACUGACGCUGAGGUUCGAAAGCGUGGGUAGCAAACAGG
rnacentral:rRNA from 1 species